UUCCGGUUGAUCCUGCCGGAGGCCAUUGCUAUCGGAGUCCGACUUAGCCAUGCUAGUUGCGCGAGUUUAGACUCGCAGCAGAUAGCUCAGUAACACGUGGUCAAGCUACCCUGCAGACACGGACAACCUCGGGAAACUGAGGCUAAUCCGCGAUACCGAUCCCAGGCUGGAACAGCCGGGAUCACUAAACGCUCCGGCGCUGCAGGAUGCGGCUGCGGCCGAUUAGGUAGACGGUGGGGUAACGGCCCACCGUGCCGAUAAUCGGUACGGGUUGUGAGAGCAAGAGCCCGGAGACGGAAUCUGAGACAAGAUUCCGGGCCCUACGGGGCGCAGCAGGCGCGAAACCUUUACACUGCACGCAAGUGCGAUAAGGGGACUCCGAGUGCGAGGGCAUAUAGUCCUCGCUUUUGAGAACCGUAAGGCGGUUCUCGAAUAAGAGCUGGGCAAGACCGGUGCCAGCCGCCGCGGUAAUACCGGCAGCUCAAGUGAUGGCCAAUCUUAUUGGGCCUAAAGCGUCCGUAGCUGGCCGUGAAAGUUCGUCGGGAAAUCCAUCCGCUCAACGGAUGGGCGUCCGGCGAAAACUUCACGGCUUGGGACCGGAAGGCUCGAGGGGUACGUCCGGGGUAGGAGUGAAAUCCCGUAAUCCUGGACGGACCGCCGAUGGCGAAAGCACCUCGAGAAGACGGAUCCGACAGUGAGGGACGAAAGCUAGGGUCUCGAACCGGAUUAGAUACCCGGGUAGUCCUAGCCGUAAACAAUGUUCACUAGGUGUGGCACAGGCUACGAGCCUGUGCUGUGCCGUAGGGAAGCCGAGAAGUGAACCGCCUGGGAAGUACGUCCGCAAGGAUGAAACUUAAAGGAAUUGGCGGGGGAGCACUACAACCGGAGGAGCCUGCGGUUUAAUUGGACUCAACGCCGGU
rnacentral:rRNA from 1 species